rnacentral:rRNA from 1 species
GAGUUUGAUCAUGGCUCAGAUUGAACGCUGGCGGCAGGCCUAACACAUGCAAGUCGAACGGUAACAGGAAGCAGCUUGCUGCUUCGCUGACGAGUGGCGGACGGGUGAGUAAUGUCUGGGAAGCUGCCUGAUGGAGGGGGAUAACUACUGGAAACGGUAGCUAAUACCGCAUAAUGUCGCAAGACCAAAGAGGGGGACCUUCGGGCCUCUUGCCAUCGGAUGUGCCCAGAUGGGAUUAGCUUGUUGGUGGGGUAACGGCUCACCAAGGCGACGAUCCCUAGCUGGUCUGAGAGGAUGACCAGCCACACUGGAACUGAGACACGGUCCAGACUCCUACGGGAGGCAGCAGUGGGGAAUAUUGCACAAUGGGCGCAAGCCUGAUGCAGCCAUGCCGCGUGUAUGAAGAAGGCCUUCGGGUUGUAAAGUACUUUCAGCGGGGAGGAAGGGAGUAAAGUUAAUACCUUUGCUCAUUGACGUUACCCGCAGAAGAAGCACCGGCUAACUCCGUGCCAGCAGCCGCGGUAAUACGGAGGGUGCAAGCGUUAAUCGGAAUUACUGGGCGUAAAGCGCACGCAGGCGGUUUGUUAAGUCAGAUGUGAAAUCCCCGGGCUCAACCUGGGAACUGCAUCUGAUACUGGCAAGCUUGAGUCUCGUAGAGGGGGGUAGAAUUCCAGGUGUAGCGGUGAAAUGCGUAGAGAUCUGGAGGAAUACCGGUGGCGAAGGCGGCCCCCUGGACGAAGACUGACGCUCAGGUGCGAAAGCGUGGGGAGCAAACAGGAUUAGAUACCCUGGUAGUCCACGCCGUAAACGAUGUCGACUUGGAGGUUGUGCCCUUGAGGCGUGGCUUCCGGAGCUAACGCGUUAAGUCGACCGCCUGGGGAGUACGGCCGCAAGGUUAAAACUCAAAUGAAUUGACGGGGGCCCGCACAAGCGGUGGAGCAUGUGGUUUAAUUCGAUGCAACGCGAAGAACCUUACCUGGUCUUGACAUCCACGGAAGUUUUCAGAGAUGAGAAUGUGCCUUCGGGAACCGUGAGACAGGUGCUGCAUGGCUGUCGUCAGCUCGUGUUGUGAAAUGUUGGGUUAAGUCCCGCAACGAGCGCAACCCUUAUCCUUUGUUGCAGCGGUCCGGCCGGGAACUCAAAGGAGACUGCCAGUGAUAAACUGGAGGAAGGUGGGGAUGACGUCAAGUCAUCAUGGCCCUUACGACCAGGGCUACACACGUGCUACAAUGGCGCAUACAAAGAGAAGCGACCUCGCGAGAGCAAGCGGACCUCAUAAAGUGCGUCGUAGUCCGGAUUGGAGUCUGCAACUCGACUCCAGGAAGUCGGAAUCGCUAGUAAUCGUGGAUCAGAAUGCCACGGUGAAUACGUUCCCGGGCCUUGUACACACCGCCCGUCACACCAUGGGAGUGGGUUGCAAAAGAAGUAGGUAGCUUAACCUUCGGGAGGGCGCUUACCACUUUGUGAUUCAUGACUGGGGUGAGGUCGAAACAAUGUA